GCGAGGACUAUUACUGAUGGGCUGACGAGCCGACUGGACAUCAUGACUGCGGAGAUCAGUGAUCUGAGGCAGCAGGUAGGAGCACUCCGGAGAGAGAGAGAGACCCAUGGACCUUCUGUGCCACAGGCUGCUGAGUCAGAGAUAUCGGCACAGAGUCAUCCAGCUCGUCGUGCUCCACGCCAGACACAGUCUCAUCAGGCUCGACCUCCCCUCGCCACGUACACUAGGAGGAUGAGGACUAGAUCCCAGCCAUUAGAUACUCCCUAGGCAGAUAUUAGCAUUUCUGGUUAGAGCCUAGGCUAGAUAUCUAGUUCUCAUAUGUAUUUUGCUUUUAUCAUAUAUGUUUAAACUUUGAUUAAGGAACAUUGUAUCUGUUUUUGUUUUUGGGCAUGAAUGUACUGAAAUGUUCCUAUUUUGAUCAAGGAAGUUUGAAUGCUUGUUAUUUAUUGUGUCUUUUCCCAUGCAUCUAUUUGAUGAUAACAAAAAGGGGGAGAAGUAAAGAAAGAGUAAUGUAAUGGGGGGAGAAGUAAAGACAGAGUGAUAAGAGAAGUAAAGAAAGAAGGAGAAAUAACGAAAUAACUUGUAAAACAACUUGAAAAUCAUAUAGGAAAGCAUAUGCAUCCAAGGGGGAGCAAUUUGCAGCAAUGAAAAUGAUCAAGUCAAAAAUUUCUAUCAAAUUUCAGAAUUUGGCACAUAG
rnacentral:lncRNA from 1 species